rnacentral:rRNA from 1 species
GUGUCAGCAGCCGCGGUAAAACGUAGGAGGCAAGCGUUAUCCGAAUUUACUGGGCGUAAAGCGCGUGCAGGCGGUUCGGUAAGUUGGAUGUAAAAUCUCCCGGCUCAACUGGGAGGGGACGUUCAAGACUGUCGGGCUGGAGGGCGGUAGAGGGAGGUGGAAUUCCCGGUGUAGUGGUGAAAUGCGUAGAUAUCGGGAGGAAUACCUGUGGCGAAAGCGGCCUCCUGGACCGUACCUGACGCUCAGACGCGAAAGCUAGGGGAGCAAACGGGAUUAGAUACCCGCGUAGUCC